rnacentral:lncRNA from 1 species
CGCAGACAUAUUGUUUCGAAGGCAGCGAACACAUCAUCCACCGCACAGUCGCCGGUGAAACUGUUUCCUGUUGUGUUUACCCCAAUUAAUUAGAUUUUAGGCAAUUGAGUAAAUAUGGUGGACAUCAGUGGUUCCGGAGGAGGUGGCCCUAUUGCUAUAAGCGUCGACAAUGCGAUAUUUAUUAUCCCAGCCAUUAUUAUCAUUGCUUUAGUGUCCUUCUUCACCUACAAGCUUGUCAUGCGUCUUCGUGACAAGGAGCGCAAGAAGGAGGAGAAGAAGAAGUUGAAGCAGCAGCGAAAGGAGAAGGAGAACCAGCCGAAGAAGAAGAAGUGAGAGGGAUGCGCCGUUGCUAGCUAACAGAUUAUUUUUGAUACCUAAGACAGUUGCUCGAGAGAGGUGGAUGGCAUGUGGAUGACAGUGUGUAUGCAUGAAGGGACUACGAGGGACAAGGACAUGUCGCCAUGGCAACCAGUUGGCAAAACAUCCCGAUGGCACAUGUGGGUUAGAGCAUAUGCCGUUGUUAUUGCAGACACAUACACGUGACGAUUAUCUAUUGAAUAUGUUUGCCGUGUUGACACCUCUUAGUUUAAUUUCUAGUUGUUUUUGAGAACAGGUAUUAAACGCAUACGAACAGUGCAUUUAAGAUUAUGUUAUGGUAAUAUCCAGGAUAUAUUCAGCCAGUACUUUAUGGACAAGCAUCAUUGCUACUCUGGUAACUGCAGAUUUCUUUAGUCUAUAUGAUAGGACUAUUUGGUCGACUAUUGUUCAGGUGAUCCAACCUGCUUUGAUGCCAAUGACGGUAUUGCUGUUGCAAAUGUGUCCCGUAGCACAGUGCAGGGGGUGCUUCCACAUGGCGUACAUUUCAAUCUCAUAGGAAUCUUGAUGUUGUGAGAGUGGCACACUGGAAGACAAAAUCGCUAGUGUGAAGAUAAUUAACUUAUUAUUGGUCCGCUGAGUAAUUGUGUAGACUGCGUAAACUGUCACCAGGUGGCAGCAUGGCCGUAACUACUGCGGCAAAAUCUGUCAUUGCUUGAUAUGUUUUGACAAACACUACCCUACUAAAGGAAACUGAAGGUGUAUGGUAGAGGUAACAGUGAACGACUGGGGAGUAAAAAAUUUCAUGUUUACAGUGUUAUCCGAACUUUGUCCUGUUUGCUCUCAGUUUUGUCAACAAAGCGUGUGGAUGCACAAGAAACGUUUUUAAGCUAGUUUUCGUGUGUAAUAUCUUUCUAGCAGUUCUGUUUGUAUGCAAAAGCUUUAUCGGCCAAUUUUUCAAGCUAUUUAUUACAAGAGCAACAUCGUUACUAUAUGUUUAUAGAAUUCUUGCAGGUUUCAUGUAGGCAGCAUACGCCGUCAAUCGUGGCAGUGCAGGGUUUCUUAUACAUAAGAGGCAUAGUGGCGCAACGCCAUUGUCAAAUUUAACAUCGCCGUUGUGAAAAUGUUCCGGUAUUUACCCGCCGUUGUCAAAAUAAUGUCAACUGUCAACCCAAAAAUACAUAGAUCACCACGUGCUUCUGGCAUAUUUAGAUUGCUAUGUGUGGUUAUUGCGUCAUGUGAAGGGGGGUCUAAACUUUUCCGUUAUUUCCUUUAAAUCCAUCAUGCCCAGGUUUUUUUUUCCAAACUGGCCAUUACCUCCUUCCUCUAAUUUUCCCUCAGAAGAAACCCUGCAGUGUAAAUUCCGGUGCUAAGAAUAGUUGCACGAAAUGACCGUGCAGCUAUACAACAUUACUUUGAUCAGAAGUGAAUAAAAAAACACUUGUUUAUAUUCACUUCUGCUUGGAUUAAUUGUGUAUGAAGCCUAGCAUUCCAAUAUAAUGUGUGCACAAGUAAAUACACUGGUAUAUUUUAUGCACUUUUGAGUGAUAACCCUGGAGGAUCAAUGCGUUGCUCACUCAUGGUGUUAGGGUUUCACUUUGGGAUAAGGUUAAGAGUUGGUGGUAAGAUUGUGGUUAUUGUUACGUAUUAUUACUCCAUAAUUCUAACCUUACCCUCAUCGUGAGUUGGUCUAUUGGCACUAUUUAACACUGCAUUUAGCUUCAAAAUGGAAGCAAUGGAUUAGGUCACAGUGUUACCAGGAAGAACAGAGGAAUAUGUAAUCAAGAAUGAAAAAUGGCACUGUGUCAUCGCGUGGACGUAAAUGGCUGAGGUGUUUCUGUGACUGGGCAAAAGGGAGGAAGGCACAUAGAAAGCUACGUGGGUCACCGGUGGGAGGGAGGGUUGGGCGUUGUGAUAAUCACCAGGGUUUAGUGCAAACCUGUAGCCAUUAAUCAAAAUGAGAUUACAAUACACCACCUGCAGGCUCUCAUCGGUUAUACAAACGGUGGGAGCCUAUCAAUGUGCCCACAGUCAGAUAAGUGCUUGUGGUAGAUUACCACUGGUCCUGGUUGUCCCGCCGUAUCUCUAGCCAAGAUAGUACUGCACGUGGGUCACUGUAAUCAUGUACAUUAUCGUUUACGUUAUACUACAAGUUUUUCAUGUGUUUGCACACAUUGGGAUCCUCACAGAAAAAGUUCCAGAGUUGGAAAUGGGGGCAAGUAGUUUUGCAAUUUGAGAAGGGUAAAGGAGCGAAAAGGGAAUAUUUGUUAAUGAGUUGAUCGAUUAUCCAUCACAUUUUUAACUGUAUUUAUUGUUAAGAAACAACUAAGAGAAAUUUGCAGGUUUUAUACUUCCAUCAUGUUGAAGUAUAGGUAAACUAAUGACGGGUUUGUUAAUACAGGAAUGCACAUCUGGCACAUUGCAUUUAAUUUAAGGAUUUUAGUUGUAUGUUGGCAAGGUGUUAUAUUUUGUAUAAGUUGUUGAUAACUAUAGGCUUUUAUUGAUUUACUACUUAAUAUUUUGUAAUAAAUUUCCUGGUGUCAAGUCUUCUACCAUUGUGUUUGGAAAUUGUUAACACUAAAAAGUCUUGGAAUGCUUAGCCUAGAUCAGCCAGUCCCUGUGUGGAUUUUGGUUUAGGUAAUGUACCAAUACUACGAAUUUUGUAUAUUUAGGUUCGUCAGAAUACGGAUAAUGUAGUAGUACUGUAGUAUUACAGUUAACGGACAUGUUGAAAAUUUCAAAUGGAUAUUUCGAUAUAUACUUCAGCUUUAGUCUUUGUGAAGGGAUGUAAAUUUUUUUCCUGGUGUAUUGGAAAUUAAAUUUUUUUAAUUAAAAGUUGAA